rnacentral:ncRNA from 1 species
CUAUGACUCUCUUAAGGUAGCCAAAUGCCUCGUCAUCGACUAAUAUAGGUGACAAAAAGUCAGCUGCGUCAAUAGACGACAAACAGUAACUGGCUAGUCUGUGAUUACAGGCGACACUGUCAAAUUGCGGGAACUUCCUAAAGAUCUUACUACUAAGCUAGAUUUCGAAAGAGUCUGGUGGCCGAGCUAACAGCCCUGGGUACAGUAAAAAUGUAAGAUAUGCAACAAUGGAUGAUCCGCAGCCAAGCUCCUAAGUCUAAAGAUAUGGAGAAGGUUCAGAGACUAGAUGGCAGUGGGUCUGCGUAAGUAGAUCUAAGGUAUAGUCCACUCCUGGCGUGAAAGUGCUAG